GACGAACGCUGGCGGCGGGCUUAACACAUGCAAGUCGAACGAGAAGCCCCCUUCGGGGGGUGGAAAGUGGCGCACGGGUGAGUAACGCGUAGGCAAUCUACCCUUAGCUGGGGGAUAACC
rnacentral:rRNA from 1 species